GUUUUUGGUUUGACGUUUAGUGAUCGAGACUAUCGUGGUGUUCCAAUAGUUCUUCAAUAUUAAUUUGGUUUCUUUAACCGAAAAGUCUAGCGGUAUCACGGUGACCUGAAAAAUAAUAAUACAGAUCAAUGAAAAAGAUCAAAGCGGUAUUUAAUUUAGUCAGCAGUACCAUUGUUAACAGCUAACUGACGAGGUGUUUGAUUCUCAUUAUUUACAAAAUAAACUUCGGCUCCUUUUUCGAUGAGAAGUUUAGCAACAUUCUUUUGACCUUAGAAAUAAUUUAGAUCGAUGAAAAAGAUCAAAUCAAUCUUUCAUUUAAUGAAAACAAGUAUUCAACAUUACCAUUCAUAGCAGCAUUAUGAAGAGGUGUAUUACUAAAAUGAUUCGUGAUAUCUAUACUGGCGCCUUUAUUGAGGAGAACCUCGGCGACAUUUUUGUGACCUGAAAAAUAAUUCAGAUCGAUGGAAAAGAUCAAAUCAAUCUUUUAUUUAAUGAAAACAAGUAUUCAACUUUACCAUUCAUAGCAGCAUAAUGAAGAGGUGUAUUAUUAAAAUCAGUCACGGCAUCCACAUUGGCGCCUUUGUUGAGGAGAAACUCGGCGACACUCUGGUGACCUUAGAAAUAAUUUAGUUCGAUGAAAAAGAUCAAACCGAUUCUCUAUUUUGUGAAAAUAACUAUUCAACAUUACCCAUCUGAGCAGCAUGAUGAAGAGAUGAUUUAAAACUCAUUCUGAGAAUCACGUCACCGAACGAUGCCCGCUUAUUCCAGAUGGCCAUUGACCAAUUGCAACAAGCUCUACUUGAAUCUGAGGAAAUGUUUCGUCAUGACGUAUGCGAAGAACAUCACCGUACAAAAACAUGAAUACACGAUAAGCAAUGGUCAGCACAAAUUUGACAGAAUUGAGCUACACCGAGACUUGGGUGUCAUUUUUGACGUAAAACUCACAUUUGCCAACCACAUUGAUACGACAGUAGCUAGCGCACACGGGGCAUUAGGUUUUAUUAAGCGAACACUGAAAAACAAGUUCACUAUAGAAUCAGCAAAAAUGUUAUAUUAUGCAUUGGUUCGAUCGAAGAUAGAGUAUGCUAGUGUAGUGUGGCAUCCAUACCACCGGUCAUAUAUUGACAAGGUUGAAUCAGUUCAGAAAAACUUUUUAAUUUGGGCAUUUAGAGGAAUCUACCAAAGAGAUGUUAAUUAUAGGUUGCCAUCGUAUCAAUUUAGAUGUGAUAAUUUGAAUAUUCAACCGCUUUGGAGGCGGCGUAUAAAUGCCUCAGUAUUGUUAAUUUAUGAUCUCCUCCUAGGAAAGUUGAUUUGUACGGUGCUCAGAGAAAGAAUUGUAUAUACGAGACGAUUAGAUAACAGAAACCAAAGAAAUAUAAGAAAUAGGGAUUUAGUUAGAAUUGAAACUUAUGGCACGGACUAUGCUCGUAAUCAGCCAUUUAUUGUAGCGUGUAGAAAUUUUAACAAAGUGAAGCAAUCGUUUUUGGACUCGGCAUCAAGGCAAAUAUUUAGUAGAAAUGUGUUCAAUUUAGACAACAGUAUUUUUGAAGAAUUGUAUGUUUAGUGAAUAGUGGUGGUCACGGUCGGAGGCCGCAGAGCGCCACUUCGAAGUCAUUAGGGCUGGUGGACAUUUUUUUGGAAUAGAAGAAUUUUUUCAAUUCAAGAACUUGAAAAAGGACACUUUUCAUUUUUUUAAAUUAUUUCAGAGAAAUUUAUCACAAAUUGUCCACGAAAAGUAUGAAAGAUGAAAAAUUUAAAAAAAAAUCGACUGAAACUGUCGACUCACCUCGGAUACCAUCAAGCCAAUGAGCAGCAGUGUGAAAGAACUUCGACUCAGCAUUUUUCUAGCUUCGAACUAUUAAAAGUUUACUAUGAACGUAUCAAUUGGAAAGAACUGUUUGAUGGACAUGCGAAUCGAACGUAUCCUCUUAUAUACUUUUCAAGUGUGGCCACGUCGGUGGGCAACACACUGUAUGAUUCAAUCCACGUACAAUGACGAUUCUAAUAAAAGUCCACAAAAUAUUAUCGCACACAUUUUUCAAGAUAACAAUGUCAAAACAAUUGAUGGAAUUACAAUUCCACCUGUGCAUGUGUGUUUAAUUUCGCGUUUCACAUCAAAUGUUUUGCAUUGAAAAUAUCAGAUGUUUACAUUUAUUCUUUCAUCACCUUCUUGAAAUAUGUAAAAAUUUAAAAAGUAAAUAUUUUUCACUCUCGAAGGGUUGAGUGGUGUUACUACGGCACAUGGCUGUUCAAAUUUAAAAAUAUUCACAUCUUCGCUGUAUGCACAAAAAACAUUCCGUUUCAAAGUAAAUUCAAAGUUAAAAAAUAACCACAAAUCAACCGUCGCUUACAUGAUGUAAAUUAGAAUGUGAAUGAUCAAACGACAUGACUCAUUCCUUUGCGUUACAUUCAGGCUCACAUGCCAUGGUUGCGUUGCUUUGUUCAAUAGCUACAGUGUUAGUUGAUGCAAGCAUUGCAAGGAUAUACGGUAUCACAUUUACUUUACAUCACUCAAUAAGUUAUAGGUAGGAUACGAUGAUAUUGAUACAAAUCUACGUAUUCCCUUAAAAAUUACAAGCGAAUCUCAUGCAAAAUCAUAUCCAUACUCAGUAACACUUUCCAUAGAAAUAUAGACAGCUCCUCAAUUAGUUUGAAAUUCCAAUGAACACACACGUAAAGAAAUACUACUUACGAUCCAAUACAAAUCACAUAAAAAAGUAAAAAAUUCUGUCACUGUCGCAUUUCGUACCAACACAGCCAACUUUUUGUUUCCAUGAAAUAAAUUCUUCGUAGUGGUAAAAAAUCUAUGGCACAGAUUCGAGAAAAAUAUCACUAAUACUGAGAGAAAAAACUUGUUCCGUUUGUGUCAAAGAUCGAAAAAUUUAUUCCUUUUAUUAAGUUUAUCAAGCACUUUUCAAGAAGUUUUUACCUAGCAUUGAAUUUUCGUUUAAGCUUUACUAUCUAAAUACGGUCAAACUUAUUAUAAUGCCAUCGUUGGAUGGCGUUUAUUCUGGUCAAGAGCUUGAAAGUCCUCCGUGGUGUGCGUUUUCCAUAUUAUCGCUAAAAUUUCAUUUUAUCUCAUUAAAUCAAGAAUAUUAAGAAAAGAAUUUAUUUUGAAAUGAAAGCCAAUUCGGUCUUUGUUCUAAUCGAUAAUUUAUUUGAAAUAAAUGCAGACAUUUCAAGUCAUCUGCGACUCUUCUUCAGGGCCCAAAAAAUAACAUAUGUUUUGGGUUCAAGGAUACUAUGACGAUGCAAGCGUAAUAAUGGGCUGUAGUAUUCUACAUUGAUGGUGACAGUGGGUAAAUAAAAAAGUCUGGUAUUUUUCAGAGAGUAAGUAUGCGUUGAAACUACGUUGUAAUUGUGAUUGACACUGGUUGAGGAAAGUUUAUUUUUCUAAUGAUACCUACCUAUGACAUACAAACAGUUAAGGUUGCACAAAUGCAGCAAAAUGAUAUCUUCUAUGUACUAAUAUUGUUGACCACACAAAUUGAUAUGGUCAAAGAUUGACAAAAAAUGUAUUGGAAUAAUUCUUCUACAGGACAAUCGAAAACGGGAAUCGAAGGAAAUCAUCCGAUUAUUCAGCUAUUCGCCACCUGGAAAAUACAGAUCGACUAAAGAUCAAACAAUUUCUUGUUUUGUGAAAAUAUAAAGAGAAUUACAUUCGCGAUCCCGUACUUUUCCGUACA